rnacentral:lncRNA from 1 species
UGCACACACCACACAAACGGGGCUGGCAAAGGGAGCACGCACGGCAGCGGACCUUGAACCCUUGUGCAAAUUUACCAGGGGAUGUGGAAAAACAAACACCGAGGAGCCCGGAGAGAGCGGUGGUGGUGGUUAAAGCUACCUCUGAAUAGCAAUUUUCAAAUAGAGUUGGUAAUGAAUUUUGCAGCCAAAUGCUUUUGAUCAGACUGAGUUGGGAAUCAUUCAGACUAUGACUUUAGCAGACAAGGAGAUGAAGAGCUUAACUGUCUGUAAGCAGCUCCAAGUGCCCCUCUCAGGACUGGAUUUCACACCUCGUCACAGUCUGAAGCUGCACAAGAAAUCCUGGCUGGGAGAGCCACCACUUCCCUGAGCUCUCUCUUAGUGUGGGAUGUGGAUUGACUGGCUGCAGAGGAAAUGUAAGGGGAUGUUCACAAGGAAAAGGCUCUGCUCAUUGUGUAUGUUUAUUUAGAAAAUGUAUGAAAAUGGAUUUCAAUUAUUGAUAAAAAUGAACUUCCAUCAUAUGAAGUAAGACAAAUGGCUCUCCACCUAAUUUUUCUAAGUGGUCAUGUCCUGAGCUUCUUCUGAGGUAUUUCUUGCUCAGGAGUCUCCUCCCAUCAGGGCAGUGUGGUCAGGAUGUUAGAACCUUUCAGGAGGUCACCUUCUCUCAGUACCAAGCUGGGCAGACUCCAGACUGGUUUGUUCCACACCUUUGUU